rnacentral:rRNA from 1 species
UGGGGAAUAUUGCACAAUGGGCGAAAGCCUGAUGCAGCGACGCCGCGUGAGGGAAGACGGUCUUCGGAUUGUAAACCUCUGUCUUUGGGGAAGAAUAAAUGACAGUACCCAAGGAGGAAGCCACGGCUAACUACGUGCCAGCAGCCGCGGUAAUACGUAGGUGGCGAGCGUUGUCCGGAAUUACUGGGUGUAAAGGGAGCGUAGGCGGGAUUUCAAGUCAAGUGUUAAAUCUAUGGGCUCAACUCAUAGUUGCGCUUGAAACUGAAGUUCUUGAGUGAAGUAGAGGCAGGCGGAAUUCCUAGUGUAGCGGUGAAAUGCGUAGAUAUUAGGAGGAACACCAGUGGCGAAGGCGGCCUGCUGGGCUUUUACUGACGCUGAGGCUCGAAAGCGUGGGGAGCAAACA